GACGAAGGUGGCGAGCGUUGUUCGGAAUCACUGGGCAUAAAGCGCACGUAGGCGGUGACGUAAGUCGGGUGUGAAAUCCCUCGGCUUAACCGAGGAACUGCCCUCCAAACUGCUUGGCUUGAGUCCGGGAGAGGUGAGUGGAAUUCCCAGUGUAGCGGUGAAAUGCGUAGAUAUUGGGAGGAACACCAGUGGCGAAGGCGGCUCACUGGACCGGAACUGACGCUGAGGCGCGAAAGCGUGGGGAGCAAACGGG
rnacentral:rRNA from 1 species